GCGUUGAUUGAGCUGUUACAGAGCGUGUUUACGAGCAGUUUGCUCUUCCAGUUUGAUUUAGGCUUGCUUACGAAUAUUUGAGAAGGAAAGGAACAGCAUCGUAGUGAGAGAAAUCUUGUACCUACCACCACUGGCAAAGAUGCGGGGAAAUGAGCCAAAACUCUGUUGCACAGUGGUUUCUAACGUCUUCACGCUACCUUAAAGUCUACGUUUAUCGGAGGAAAUCCGGCCAGGAAAGACUGCUGUGGAAAAUAUUGAUCCUCUUGAGAACUUGAGAAAAUUUUUGUGAGUCCAGUUUGUAAUAUCCGUUGGGAAGAAUGCGUAACUGAACGGAUGAGAAGGUCGAAGUAAAACUUUCGGUUCAAGUCUCUGCCGCAAUUCAAGAAGUUUUGAACGCUCACAAAGAGCAUUUUUCCCCAGGAAAGGAUCCGCAAGAGGCUUUACACGAGAUUAACCUUUGGAGUGACUUGCAGAUGGAAUUCCUCUGCCUCACUAAGCAGCCAGGGUAAAGCCAAAUGUGGGUACGCCGAAUAAAACACCGUGAAAUGGGACUCGGCAAUCUGAAUAUUUCGUUUCAUUCACGGCUGAUGAUAUAUUGAUCGCAGUCCUGGCCACACGUACCACCCACGCGUAUAUAUUCUCAGGCUUUGCAUACAUCGCGUCCGGUUUCGCACGGUCCAGUUUCAUCAUCCGCCAUUUGCGAAUUGUAACGUGUGAUCAAAAAAAAACGAUAAUUUUUUUAUUCCAAAAAAUGUUCGUAUAACAUUUCAAGAGUCUAAAUCCCGUGGCUUAGAACUAAAUUCGCAGUCCUUCUUGAUGAGGGGCGAUUAGUUCGUCAGCAGCGCAGAAGCUCAAUAUCUUCUGAAGAAGCUCGAAAGCCCGAACAGAGAAGCAAAUCCAGGAAAAUGAACUUUGCGAAGAAUCCGAGGGCGUGAUUGAAGAUUAAUCCAUUCAACGCCACACGACACCCCGUCGGAUGAGGUUCGCCGCAACCCGAACAGAAGACCGUGCCGUAUCUCCGCCUUUUUGAAAUAUAUCAAAAAAAAAAAAAAUACGAUAUAGUUGCGAAAAGUAACAAAAAAAAAAGUACGAAAAGGUUAAAAAUUUUGAACAAGUCUUUCCUUGUAAAAAAACCAUGAAAAUCAGUGAUUUUUUCCUUGCUUAAAGGUACUCCCCCCCCAUUAAGCGAGCUGCAGAUUACUCAUCUAGAAAUAUCGAGUUAUGGAUUUUCAUUCUCGUUGCAAAUGACCACUAGGCUUUGCCAAAUCGGUAUCACUAUUAUUACGUAGGCAUAAGACCAAACGUUUCGUUAAAAACUGUUCCACCCUAAACUUGUUAGCAAUUGCAAAUAAUCGAAUGGGUCAUAAAUAUACGAGCCUUCUUCUUAUAUCGGUGAAAAAGGAAUUGAUAUUGUAUGUAUGGGUAGUG
rnacentral:lncRNA from 1 species